AACGUAGGGCGCAAGCGUUAUCCGGAGUUACUGGGCGUAAAGCGCGCGCAGGCGGCUCGGUGCGUCUGAUGUGAAAUCUCCUCGCUCAACGGGGAGAGGCCAUUGGAAACGGACGAGCUGGAGGGCAGUAGAGGUAGGCGGAAUUCCGGGUGGAGUGGUGAAAUGCGUAGAGAUCCGGAGGAACACCAGAGGCGAAGGCGGCCUACUGGGCUGCACCUGACGCUGAGGCGCGAAAGCCAGGGGAGCGAACGGG
rnacentral:rRNA from 1 species